GGCUGGUCUGAGUGCAGUUGUGUUUAAAACUAAUUGAUUACAGCCAAUUACUAUCCCUUUGUUCCUUCUCCACUCUCCACUCCCACUGCUUCACUUGACUAGCUUGGA
ensembl:misc_RNA Y_RNA Y RNA